GAUGAACGCUAGCGGCAGGCCUAACACAUGCAAGUCGAGGGGUAGAGUUCUUCGGGACUUGAGACCGGCGCACGGGUGCGUAACGCGUAUGCAAUCUACCUUAUACAGGGGAAUAGCCCAGAGAAAUUUGGAUUAAUGCCCCAUAGUGUUAUCGAAUCGCAUGGUUUGAUAACUAAAGUUCCAACGGUAUAAGAUGAGCAUGCGUCCCAUUAGUUAGUUGGUAAGGUAACGGCUUACCAAGGCUACGAUGGGUAGGGGUUCUGAGAGGGAGAUCCCCACACUGGUACUGAGACACGGACCAGACUCCUACGGGAGGCAGCAGUGAGGAAUAUUGGACAAUGGGCGCAAGCCUGAUCCAGCCAUGCCGCGUGCAGGAUGACGGUCCUAUGGAUUGU
rnacentral:rRNA from 1 species